UCUCUCUCUCUCUCUUAUCCAAAUUUGUAACAUAAACACUGCAAUGAGGGUUCUUAGCCAUGGGUAGAAUUUAGCUUUGUAAAAUUAAAUACCCAAUAGAUUCACAAAGUAGCAGAAUCGUGGGGUCUCAAAAUCAGUCAGAAAUCAAUAGUUGAGAUUUUGCAAAGUGUAUUUGCAGAGACAAAAAGGUUGAGAUCUCUUUCUACCAUCAGCAUUCUCCGGAAAAGAUCGAUUCCUUGAGCGUGUUCACACAAUUAGUUUCUCAGUUAGCUUCAAUCGCGAGAAAUUAUUUUCCCAAAAGGCACACUAUGAGAAAUCGCUAGCUGAAGAAGUUACCAACAUCUGCUUGGAAAUGCCACCAGUCCAACAUGCCAUGUACAGACUUUAAAAGAAGACAACAGGCCACCCACAUCCAAUGCAUUGCAGACAGUUCUUGUGGCCACUCAUAAGCAGCAACAAAGAAAAUGAGGUGGAGAAAAUGAAGAAAGGGAAGAUCAAAGGAAUGAAGAUCCUGCUUAAGAAGAUUUUUUGAUUGUUGCUGAAACUCUAAAUGUUCUAGGAAUCGUUUGUUAUCAAACAUUUUGAAACUUCUUUAACUUUUGGAUUGUAAAACUUAUAUACUUGGUUCUUAACUUUUGGA